rfam:Fistulifera solaris DNA, contig: scaffold00247, strain: JPCC DA0580.
GCCGAAUUAGCUCAGUCGGUAGAGCGCACGACUCUUAGCCUGAACCUUAGUUAUCGUGUGGUCGUGGGUUCGACCCCCACAUUCGGUG